rnacentral:rRNA from 1 species
UGGGGAAUAUUGGACAAUGGGCGAAAGCCUGAUCCAGCCAUGCCGCGUGUGUGAAGAAGGCCUUCGGGUUGUAAAGCACUUUAAGUGGGGAGGAAUGGCUCUUGGCUAAUAACCUUGAGCAGUGACGUUACCCACAGAAUAAGCACCGGCUAACUCUGUGCCAGCAGCCGCGGUAAUACAGAGGGUGCAAGCGUUAAUCGGAAUUACUGGGCGUAAAGCGCGCGUAGGCGGUUGUAUAAGUUGGGUGUGAAAUCCCCGGGCUCAACCUGGGAAUUGCACUCAAAACUGUACGGCUAGAGUGUGGGAGAGGAAGGUAGAAUUCCAGGUGUAGCGGUGAAAUGCGUAGAUAUCUGGAGGAAUACCGAUGGCGAAGGCAGCCUUCUGGCCUAACACUGACGCU